rnacentral:misc_RNA from 1 species
AGAAUCUAUUACUGAUCCACCAGAAAUCCCUCCUGAUCUCCCGCCUGAAUCUUUCUGGCUUUCUAAGGACGCCGAGCUUGACUGGUUCGAUCGUAAUGCGUUCAUUGAGCGCAAGGACUCCACCAAAGGAAACUCUCAUUCAACUAACUUGAAUCCCAAUGUUAAUCCCAACUCCAAUCAGUCAAAUUCUCAGAGAUUCUCUAACUUGAAGUCCAAAGCCUCUAUUAUUGGUUUGCCAAAGCCACAGAAGUC